rnacentral:lncRNA from 1 species
GUCCAAUCUGUCAGAACACCGUCGAAUUCCUCGUAGUCACCACACCUUUGUGAUUCUUGAACCUGGAGGGGCGCAAAACCAAAAUUGAGUGGGUCAGUAAAACAAUUCUUUUCCAAAUCCAAACAUUUCUCAAAACGUUGUAACCCCUCUCCGUAAAACCUGUAUACUUUCCCAGAAAUGUAAAAUAUAAAUAUACAUAUAUAUUCUCAAAACUUCAUUUUUACUAUCUCAACAUUUUUCUUUAUCAAUCAUGCCAUGCCAUGUCUAAUUCAACAGUUAAAUAUGGAUGCAUCAAUAAUAAUCAUAUCAGGUGCAAGAAAGUAAUCAACCGGAGGCCCUCUAAUAGCCCUGUACGGUUGAACCUAGAGCUCAAAAUCUAUCACUAUCACUCUACCGGAGUCACCUCUGUGACCCGUCCGGCCUUCUGCACACAAGUUACGCUCUAGUGCUUUUCUCAUCAAUCAUCUGUGCACAUAAUCUAAGGUCACCCACCAGUCGGAAUCUCACUAAACACUCUCGCGACUGGCCUGUCGUACCCACUCCGCGUGGACUGUACGACUAGCAUCUACUUGGAUCCAAGGCGAGCGUGCGAUGCGGUGAAUACUAUAAGCACUAAACCAUGGUGCAGGAUUUGAGCUCAAUAUAUAUCAACAUCAUCAUAACAGUAAUUAAAUACUCACCUGAUACUCACCUGUGCGUCCGCCGCACCAUUCAUUCAUAUGCAUCAUAUCUCAAUUCAUACUUUUCAUAUCAUUUCAUGCAUGGCAAUUCGAUUCACAUUUCUAUAUACUUUUCAUAUACUUUUAUGCAUGGCAUUUCAACUAAUAUAUCUCAUAUACUUUUAUACAUUUUCAUUAAAAGCAUAAUUUCAUGCAUUUUCAAUUUCUGGGAAACGGCAAGUAUAUAUGUAUACGGAAAACAAAACUGCCCACUCACCUGGAGUUCGCCCUACAACUCCCUAGCACAAUACGCCAAGGCGUCAUGACGAUCGGCGCCUAAAACAAUAAUUAAUUCCAACCUCAGAAUUCAUAGUGAUAGAAUAUAUAACUUAUAUAAAAUACGUCACUACGUAGUUCGAUCCGGAAGAUCUGCCACUCAGAUUUUAAAUCCAUAACUUCCAGAGGUCCACAAUAUACCUCUAGGACAACUUCCUAAAAUUUCAUUACCAUCCAACGGUCGGAUCUCCGUCAAUUUCCAAAACUAAGUGACGGUUAACAUUUUAUUUUAUGAACUUACAAUUCCAAUUCCGGAAGAUCCGUAAACUCGGAUUCCCAAUCCGUAAGUUCCAAUAAUCCUCAAAUAUUACGUAUUACAACGUAUCAAAGUUUGGUAACGAUCCAACGGUCGGAUCGUCAAUUCACAUUUUCACCAAAACUAUAAAACGUUAUUCGAACACCUAACCAACAAUCCUUAAUAACUUUCUCAUACGGUGCUCAAAUUGGGUAUAUGAAUAUACCACGGUGAUCUACUCGACGUCACGGACGUCGACAUAUUUUUAAAAUAAUUUUAUUUAUUUAUUUUUUUAACUGUAGCACCUUCUUCUUCCUUGGGUCGCCGGACUGGUUUUUCCGGCGGCCGUUUUCCGGGCAGUUUUUCAAAUUGUCAUAACUUUGUCAUUUCUCAACGAAAUCAAGUGAUUCAAAAACGAAAGUUGUAGCCCUUGAAGAGACAAAGAGAAUGGUACCUUUCCCAACACCUAGUUCGCCGUAGUUUGGCCGGAAACUGCCUCGAAAGCCUCGGAGGUCGCCGGAAAACUGGGUAUUUUUUCAAAUGAGUAUAACUUCUUCAAUACUCAACAAAAUUGAGUGAAACAAAAAGGAAAGUUGUAGUACUUGACGAGACGAAGAGAUUGAUACCUACCUCGACGCCUAACUCGCCGGGGAUUCGCCGGAAAAUGCCUCGAAAGCUCCGGCCAAACUUUGAACUUAUCGAUCUCCGUGUUCUUACGUCCAAAAACUUCCAACGAAGCACUCCGAGCUUCCUUGGAACCUCACUAAGCUCACUGUGAGCUUGGAUUGUCCUAAAACAAAGUCAAUUCGAAGAUCAUGAACAGUGCACUUUCACGGGAGUUUAGAAUCUAGGUUUUCCGAAGUAAAACUUACCUGAAAUUGGUGUCUACGUGAUCGUGGAGUCUCCAGGAGUUCGAUGGUGGUCUUAACUCCGUCGUUGGUGGAAGUUUAAGGUUGUUUUGUGGUUGGUUUGUUCGAACGGAGAAGAAGAGUGACAGAGAGAGAGAGAUUCGUGAGGGAGGAGAGAGAGUGAAUGACAGUAUACGGGAAUUGGGGAGGGAAUCAGGGUAGGAGGCCCUACUUAAAUCCCAAACACAACUUUAAACAUACUAAUGUAAAUCCAAUUGUUAAAUUUUCGCCCCUUAGUCCCGCU